GAUGAACGCUGGCGGCGUGCCUAAUACAUGCAAGUCGAGCGAACAGACGAGGAGCUUGCUCCGCUGACGUGAGGGGAGGACGUGUGAGAAACACGUGUAUAACCUACCUAACAGACGGGGAUAACCUCGGGAAACCGGAGAAAAUAGCGGAUAAUAUACUGAACCGCGUGGUUGGAUAGAGAAAGACGGCUUUGCUGUAUCUACUAGAUGCAUCCGCGCCGCAUUAGCUAGUUGGUAAGGUAAAGGCUUACCAAGGCAAGGAUGCGUAGACGAGGGGAGGGACGGAUCGGCCACCCUGGAACGGAGACACCGUCAAGACUCCUGCGGGAGGCAGCAGUAUGGUAUCUGCCGCAGUAGGCGAAAACCUGACGGAACAACGCCGCGUGAGAGACAAAGGUCUUCGGAUCGUAAUGCUCUGUUAUGAGGGAAGAACAAAUGUGUAAGUAACUAUGCACGUCUUGACGGUACCUGGUCAGAAAGCCACGGCUAACUACGUG
rnacentral:rRNA from 1 species